rnacentral:misc_RNA from 1 species
GAUGAAGAACGUAGCGAAAUGCGAUACGUAGUGUGAAUUGCAGAAUUCAGUGAAUCAUCGAAUCUUUGAACGCACAUUGCGCCCGCCAGUAUUCUGGCGGGCAUGCCUGUUCGAGCGUCAUUUCAACCCUCAGGCCCCCAGUGCCUGGUGUUGGGGAUCGGCCCAGCCUUCCUGUAAGGCCGCCGGCCCCGAAAUCUAGUGGCGGUCUCGCUGUAGUCCUCCUCUGCGUAGUAGCACAACCUCGCAGUUGGAACGCGGCGGUGGCCAUGCCGUUAAACACCCCACUUCUGAAAGUUGACCUCGGAUCAGGUAGGAAUACCCGCUGAACUUAAGCAUAUCAAUAAGCGGAGGA